rnacentral:lncRNA from 1 species
GAUGGAUAUAUGCAGGGAUGGUGCAGAUAGGUGAUGAAUACAGAGUCUGCUAGGCCUGUGUCUGCAAAUAAAAUGAAGGUGAGCAGGAUCGUCCAUCAGAAACUUGGACUCAGCCUCAGGAGAGCUAAGUUUAUUCAAGAAAAUAAGCAGGAGCCUUGUUCUUAUCCUCAUAACAAGAGUGCUAAUCUGAAUAAUUAAUCAAAAAACUGUGAAGGAACUCCUCUGUUAAAAUGCCAGAGAGUAAAGGACACAUGUUGAAGGAGAAGAGAAGUAUCAGGAGAAAAGAGAAGAUGAGCAUGAACUGAAUCUGCUUCUAUAUUCCAAUAAAGACAAGGAUACUGGAGAGGAAGAAUGAUAAAGAACAACCAAACUCUCUUCAGCCAGUUCCUCCUCCUGGGCCUGCCGAUCCCUGCAGAGCACCAGCAACUGUUCUUUGCCCUGUUCCUGUCCAUGUACCUCACCACCAUCCUGGGGAAACUCAUCAUCAUCAUCCUCAUUCGACUGGACUCCCAUCUCCACACACCCAUGUACUUGUUUCUCAGCAACUUGUCAUUCUCUGAUCUCUGCUUUUCCUCUGUCACAAUGCCCAAGUUGCUGCAGAACAUGCAGAGCCAGGACACAUCCAUCACCUAUGUAGGUUGCCUGACACAAAUGUACUUUUUUUGAUUUUUUUUGGAGGCCUGGAAAUCUUCCUCCUUGUGGUCAUGGCCUAUGACCGCUAUGUGGCCAUCUGCCUUCCCCUUCACUACACCAGCAUCAUGAGUCUCAAGUUCUGUGUGUGUGCAGUGCUGAUUUCCUGGGUAUUUAACUUGCUGUAUUCCAUGUUGCACACUCUACUCUUGGCUAGGUUGUCAUUCUGUGAGGACAACAUAAUCUGCCACUUUUUCUGUGACAUGUCUGCCCUGCUCAAGUUGGCCUGCUCUGAUAUUUAUAUAAAUGAACUUAUGAUAUUUAUCUUGGGAGGGCCCCUUGUGGUCAUUCCGUUCUUACUCAUUGUUGUGUCCUAUGUACAAAUUAUCUUCUCUAUUCUAAAGGCUUCAUCUACUCGGGCCAUCUACAAGGUCUUCUCUACCUGUGGCUCCUACCUGACUGUGGUGUCACUAUUCUAUGGGACAGUUAUUGGUCUCUACUUUUGUCCAUCAGAAAAUAACUUUACAGCAAAGGAGGCUUCUAUUACUAUGAUGUACACAGUGGUGACUCCCAUGCUAAACCCUUUCAUCUACAGCCUGAGGAACAGAGAUAUAAAGGAGGCCCUUAUAAAAGUUCUUAUCAAGAAAAUACCUUUAUAAUGGCAACUCUGGGAUUUUUACUUAAAUUUAUUUAGUGAACAUAUUGCUAUUAGUAUUACAAAAUUUAUCCUUCCUAGGGAACCCACAUACAAGAACACAAUACAUAAUAUUCCCAUCUGCAAAAGAGACUUUUAAAAAGUAGUUCAAUUGGGAAAGGGGACCUUGGAGAUUCAGUGAUGCCAUCCUCUGCCUUAAAUGUGUGAUUCUGCCGGGCGUAGUGUAGCACAACUUUAAUCCCAGCACUCAGAAGGCAAAGGCAGGCGAAUCUCUGAGUUCAAGGCCAGCCUGGUCUACAGAAUGAGUUCAAGGACAGCCAGGGAUACACAGAGAAUCCUUGUCUCAUAAAAAAAAAAAAGGUGUGAUUCUAAGUAAUCAUUAAGUAAAAGCCAAUAUUUUAUCAAAUUCUAUUUCUUACAUUCUUUUUUUUAAUUUAUUUUUUUAUUAUUGGGUACUUAUUUCAUUUACAUUUCCAAUGCUCUCCCAAAAGUCCCCCACACCCACCCACACCCACUCCCCCACCCACCCACUCCCACCUCUUGGCCCUGGCGUUCCCCUGUACUGAGGCAUAUAAAGUCUGCACAACCAAUGGGCCUCUCUUUCCACUGAUGGCCAACCAGGCCAUCUUCUGAUACAUAUGCAGCUAGAGACACGAGCUGGAGGGGGAGGGUACUGGUUAGUUCAUAUUGUUGUUCCACCUAUAGGGUUGCAGAUCCCCCCAGCUCCCUGGGUACUUCCUCCAGCUCCUCCAUUGGGGGCCCUGUGAUCCAUCCAAUAGCUGACUGUGAGCAUCCACUUCUGUGUUUGCUAGGCCCCUGCAUAGUCUCACAGUAGACAGCUAUAUCAGGGUCCUUUCAGCAAAAUCUUGCUAGUGUGUGCAAUGGUGUCAGAGACAAUACCGUGAGAAAGCGAGCCCUUCACAAUCUCCCUGACAGACCAAAUGGCCUCGUGCUAGGAGCUGGUUAUCACUCCCUCCUCCCUAUUCCCUUCCUGGCACCUAAGGCUGUAAAAGCUGAAUUAUAGUCCCCUCUUCCCUAUCUCUUCCUGAACUCUCAUGCCAUCCAAGGACAUGAGUUACGCCUGAACCCGGCCUGACACCCCAAGGCUGUCAAGGAGAAUCUAUGUUCUGGAGAUAAUAUGCAGAGUGCCCGCCACCUGGAGCCUGACUUCGGCCCUCAUGUCAGCAGAUGCCCACUUCUUUGUUCUUUGUUAAAAUUCCCCCUAGACCCCUCUCUGUUCCCCGAGAUGUAUGCUUUAAAACAAGGCACCUCAGCCUAAUAAAAGGAGACCUUGAUAGGUACAAUCUACUUGGUCGUGCUUUUCUUUCUCUUCCAAUCCCAUAUCCUUACAAAUUUGCGGUCCCCCUCGC